rnacentral:lncRNA from 1 species
ACAGAGUCAAUGUGGAGGAUAUAUACAGGGGGUACCGGUACAGAGUCAAUGUGGAGACUAUAUACAGGGGGUACCGGUACAGAGUCAAUGUGGAGGCUUUAUACAGGGGGUACCGUACAGAGUCAAUGUGGAGGCUUUAUACAGGGGGUACCGUACAGAGUCAAUGUGGAGGCUAUAUACAGGGUAUUACGGUACAGAGUCAAUGUGGAGGCUAUAUACAGGGUAUUACGGUACAGAGUCAAUGUGGAGGCUAUAUACAGGGGGUACCGGUACAGAGUCAAUGUGGAGGCUAUAUACAGGGGGUACCGGUACAGAGUCAAUGUGGAGGCUAUAUACAGGGGUUACCGGUACAGAGUCAAUGUGGAGGCUAUAUACAGGGGGUACCGGUACAGAGUCAAUGUGGAGGCUAUAUACAGGGGGUACCGGUACAGAGUCAAUGUGGAGGCUAUAUACAGGGGGUACCGGUACAGAGUCAAUGUGGAGGCUAUAUACAGGAGUUACCGGUACAGAGUCAAUGUGGAGGCUAUAUACAGGGGGGUACCGGU